GACCUGGAGGCAAAAAAGGACCUGGAGGCAAAAAGGAUUUGGAGGCAAAAAAGGAUUCUGGAGGCAAAAGAGGACCUGAAGGCAAAAAUUACCUGGAGGCAAAAAAGGACCUGGGGACAAAAGGAUUCUGGAGGCAAUAAAAGGACAUAGAGACAAAAAGGCCUGGAGGCAAAAAGGAUUUGGAGGCAAAACAAGGACCUGGAGGCAAAAAUAGGAUUCUGAAGGUAAAAAGGAGGCAAAGAGGGCUUGAGAGGCACAAAGGAGCUGGAGCCCUUGCUGGCCUCUCUCCCACCUGGAUUCGCGGCUGCCCCGUGGAAUUGCUGCGGUUCCCCAAAACGGAGGGGGAAAAGCUCCUCCUUCCCUGCCCGCGGAUGAAUUCUCAGCCCUGCAGCUCCGGGCUGGGCCAGAGGAUCCCCCCAGCCCUGCCCCGAUCCCAGAAAUCACGGACACCCCGACGGGCCCCGCCAGGCCGGGUUUAUUCCCUCCCCAAAUCUGGAUGGAGCCACCCAAACCCCAAAUUGGGCUGUGGGGGGCCAGGCUGGGAGCACCCACCCCAGCGGGGCACGAACAGGAACCUGCAGCGCGGCUUUUGCUCCCUUUUUUAUAGAUUUCUGCGCGGAUGUAGAGAAAAUAGAGAGAACGUGGGGCGCCCCCAGCAGAGCCACGGCCGGCUGCAAACAGCUCUGAGGUGGGGAAUCAAAAGGGCCCCGUCCGGAUUGUCCCGGGCUGUCCCCUGCCUGUCCCGGGCUGUCCCCCUGCUGUCCCCCGGCUGUCCCCUCCUUGUCCCGGGCUGUCCCCUGCCUGUCCCGGGCUGUCCCGUGGCUGUCCCGGGCUGUCCCCUGCCUGUCCCGGGCUGUCCCGUGGCUGUCCCGGGCUGUCCCCUGCCUGUCCCGGGCUGUCCCCUCCCUGUCCCGGGCUGUCCCCUGCCUGUCCCCCGGCUGUCCCCUCCCUGUCCCGGGCUGUCCCCUGCCUGUCCCGGGCUGUCCCCUGGCUGUCUCUGCCUGUCCCCCGGCUGUCCCCUCGCUGUCCCCCGGGCUAUCCCCGGACUGUCCCCUUGCUUUUUCCCGGCUGUCCCUGACUGUCCCCCCGUUGUCCCCCGGCUGUCCCCCCGUUGUACCCGGGCUGUCCCCGGCUGUCCCCCUGUUGUCCCCUCGCUGUCCCUGGGGCUGUCCCUGACUGUCCCCCCGUUGUCCCCCGGCUGUCCCGGGCUGUCCCUGGCUGUGUCCCGGGCUGUCCCCCCGUUGUCCCGCGCUGUCCCCCUGGCUGCCCCCGGGCUGUCCCGGGCUGUCCCCGGCUGUCCCCCCGUUGUCCCCCGGGCUGUCCCGGGCUGUCCCCCUGUUGUCCCCUCGCUGUCCCUGGGGCUGUCCCUGGCUGUCCCCCCGUUGUCCCGGGCUGUCCCCGUUGUCCCCCCGUUGUCCCGGGCUGUCCCCCCGCU
rnacentral:lncRNA from 1 species